CUGGGUAAAUUAUUUUUUGUUUUGAAAUAGAGAAGUUCCACUUUUUUAGAGAACUGGAAAAAUAUUUUUUCAAAUAAAAGUGCAUCUACAAUUGAACACCCUAAAUGAUAAUUUUUCAAUUUCAUUAACUUGUUAAAAUGUAAGUAUAGAAAGUUAUUGAUGAUGGUUUGAAAGAAUUUGAUCUAAUGCUUAGUUAUAAAUGACUAUAAAAUUUCUUGCUUUUCUCCAUAAGAAUUGCAUUGACUCGUAGGUUCAC
rnacentral:lncRNA from 1 species